rnacentral:snRNA from 1 species
CCGUUCGGCGGAAGCGUCG